UGGUUCUGGCAUCGAUGAAGAACGCAGCGAAAUGCGAUAAGUAAUGCGAAUUGCAGAAUUCCAGUGAGUCAUCGAAUCUUUGAACGCACAUUGCGCCCUUUGGUAUUCCGAAGGGCAUGCCUGUUCGAGCGUCAUUUACAACCCUCAAGCCCCCGGCUUGGUGUUGGACGGUUUGGUUUAGGCUUGCCUAGACCCCUCCUAAAAGCAAUGACGGCGGGCUGUUUGCACCCCCGGUACACUGAGCGUCUUAACUGAGCACGUACCGGUCGGGUCGACGGCACCCGGUCUCAACCACAAUAUUUUCCAGGUUGACCUCGGAUCAGGUAGGAAUACCCGCUGA
rnacentral:misc_RNA from 1 species